ACUCCUACGGGAGGCAGCAGUGGGGAAUAUUGCACAAUGGGCGCAAGCCUGAUGCAGCCAUGCCGCGUGUGUGAAGAAGGCCUUCGGGUUGUAAAGCACUUUCAGUCGUGAGGAAGGUAGUGUAGUUAAUAGCUGCAUUAUUUGACGUUAGCGACAGAAGAAGCACCGGCUAACUCCGUGCCAGCAGCCGCGGUAAUACGGAGGGUGCGAGCGUUAAUCGGAAUUACUGGGCGUAAAGCGCAUGCAGGUGGUUUGUUAAGUCAGAUGUGAAAGCCCGGGGCUCAACCUCGGAAUAGCAUUUGAAACUGGCAGACUAGAGUACUGUAGAGGGGGUAGAAUUUCAGGUGUAGCGGUGAAAUGCGUAGAGAUCUGAAGGAAUACCGGUGGACGAAGGCGGACCCCCGUGGACAGAUACUGACACUCAGAUGCGAAAGCGUGGGGAGCAAACAGGAUUAGAUACCCUGGUAGGAUAGCG
rnacentral:rRNA from 1 species